UUGAUUAUUUAAUAAUUUCUCAGACAUCACUAAUAAAUAGAAUUUGGUUAAACCUCUGGCGGGCGCGAGCCGCCCCCAGGCAAUAAAGCCUGGGGCCGGCAUGAGCCGUAUAGCCUGCUCAAGGCCCGCCAAAGCAACAAAGGUAUGGUAAACAUGGGGUUGAGAAACACGACGACUGCCGGUCGAGCCCCGGGGGACUCGAACGACACCCGCCGCUGGGGGCUAGGCCCCCGAACUCAGUAAUGAUCCUUCCGCAGGUUCACCUACGGAAA
rnacentral:misc_RNA from 1 species